rnacentral:lncRNA from 1 species
GGUAAACAUUUAAUUUUCACCCUUUUUUCUUCUUAUCUUUAAAAAAUUAACCCCUGUUUUCUCUAAUCUUCAUUUUUUUCGCCCGUUAUUCUCUAAUCUUCAUUUUUAAGGGCAUCAUUCUUUAAUCAUUUAACCCCAUCCAAACCUUCAUUUAUGUAGAUACAGAUAAUUUUAUCAACAAUUCAGGUGCCUUUUGAAGGUCAACUUAAUUACAAUGUAAUUACUCAUAACACAAUAAGCAAACUUAACAAUAAACUAAGAGAAUAAUGGUAAUUUG